UACGUAGGGGGCAAGCGUUGUCCGGAUUUAUUGGGCGUAAAGAGCGUGUAGGCGGCCUUGCAGGUCAGCUGUGAAAACUCGAGGCUCAACCUCGAGACGUCGGUUGAAACCGUAUGGCUAGAGUCCGGAAGAGGAGAGUGGAAUUCCCGGUGUAGCGGUGAAAUGCGCAGAUAUCGGGAAGAACACCCGUGGCGAAGGCGGCUCUCUGGGACGGUACUGACGCUGAGACGCGAAAGCGUGGGGAGCGAACAGG
rnacentral:rRNA from 1 species